AAACACGAAAGGGCGUACGGUGGAUGACUAGGCAGAGAGGAGCCGAUGAAGGACGUGGCAGCCUGCGAAAAGUCUCGGGGAGGUGGCAAGCAACCUUUGAUCCGGGAAUGUCCGAAUGGGGAAACCCCUGUUGAUGAACUCAGCAGACUCUAUUCUGAAUACAUAGGAAUAGGGAGGGAACUUGGGGAAGUGAAACAUCUCAGUACCCAAAGGAAAAGAAACAAAUUUACGCUGACUCUUUAUCCCUCACGAUCAUUUUUUGGUCGCGACGGGAUAAAGAGUCAGCAGGAUUCCCUUAGUAGCGGCGAGCGAAACGGGACCAGCCCAAACCUAUAUAACUAACUUAUGUUGCCAAAGUUAAACGCAAGUUUUUCUAAGGGGACGUAAGGGCGAGCGUGGGCUUUCGUUAUAUGGGGGUUGCGGACGGACGAUGCACAUCCCGCGAUAGUGCACGGAGUAUAUUCUUCUUAAUCGAAUUUGCUGGAAAGCAAAACCAAAGACGGUGAUAGUCCUGUAGAUGAAAAUAAGAAUAUAGACCGAGUCCAGAUCCAGAGUACUACGAGGCUCGUGAAACCUCGUAGGAAGCAGGCACGACGAUGUGCCAAGGCUAAAUACUCCUACUGACCGAUAGUGAACAAGUACAGUGAUGGAAAGUUGAAAAGCAGCCCGGGAGGGCGAUGAAAUAGUUUCUGAAACCGUAUGCUUACAAGGAGGUGGAGCGGGCUUAGGUCCGUCACACCGUUCCUAUUGAAGAAUGAGCCGACGAGUGUGCUAUAUGUCGCUCGGUUAAGUCCCCGAGGGGACGAAGCCACAGUGAAAGCGAGCCUGAAUAGGGCGUUUGUGGCAUAUACACGACCCGAAACCCGGCGAGCUAGCCAUGACCAGGAUGAAGCGCAUGUAAAAGUGCGUGGAGGUCCGAACCCACGAGCCGUGCAACACUCGGGGAUGAGUUGUGGCUAGAGGAGAAAUUCCAAUCGAGCUGGGUGAUAGCUGGUUCUCCCUGAAAUAGAUUUAGGUCUAGCGUUGGUCCAUAGCGUGGCGGGGGUAGAGCACUGAAUGGGGUCCGGGGCGCAAGCUUACGUACCCCAACCAAACUCCGAAUACCGCCAUUGCGUUCCCAAUAGUCAGUCCAUGGGGGCUAAGCUCCAUCGGACAAGAGGGAAACAGCCCUGAUCGCAGACUAAGGUCCCAAAAUUCAUACUAAGUGCGAAAGGUGGUCGGACGGCUUAUACAACCAGGAGGUUGGCUUAGAAGCAGCCAUCCUUUAAAGAAAGCGUAACAGCUCACUGGUCAAGCUGUCCGGCGCCGAAAACUUACCGGGACUCAAGUAUGAUACCGAAGUCGCGGGAUGUGAGUGUCCUUCGGGACGCUGCAUCGGUAAGGGAGCAUUCUGUUCAGCGUCGAAGCGGAAGGCGUGAGCCACCGUGGAGCGUACAGAAGAGAGAAUGUCGGCAUAAGUAGCAAAAAAACGGGUGAGAAUCCCGUUCACCGUAAACCCAAGGUUUCCAGGGCAACGCGAAUCGUCCCUGGGUUAGUCGGUCCUAAGGCGAGGCCGAAAGGCGUAGUCGAUGGACAGCAGGUUAAUAUUCCUGCACUUCCUUGUGUUUCCAAUGGGGGGACGCAUCGUUCAACUGAUCGAGUCUCUUGGAAUGAGACUUUGGGUACUCAGGGGUGUCUGGUAGGCAAAUCCGCCAGACAUAAGCCUCGGGGUAAGCGCAAGUCCUGCGAGAGCAGGACAAGGAUCGGGACUGCGGUGCCAAGAAAAACCUCUAGGGCUAAGCAUGAGGAAACCGUACCGGAAACCGACACAGGUGGGUGGGCAUAAGUGUGCCAAGGUGUACGAGAGAAACUAGGUUAAGGAACUCGGCAAAACAGCGGCCGUAACUUCGGGAUAAGGCCUGGCUGUCGCAAGACAGCCCUCAGCAAAAGAUGCAAACCGACUGUUUACCAAAAACACAGCUCCCUGCUAAACCGCAAGGUGACGUAUAGGGGGUGAUGCCUGGCCAGUGUCAGAACGUUAAGAGGAGGGGUGAAUCCUUCGGGAGGCAGCCUUGAAUCGAAGCGCUGAUGAACGCCGGCGAUAACUAUAAUCGUCCUAAGGUAGCGAAAUUCCUUGUCGGGUGAGUUCCGACCCGCACGAAUGGCAUAACGAGUUUGCAACUGUCUCAACCUAGUACUCGGCGAAAUUGCAAGUGGGGUGAAGAUGCCCUGUACGCGCAGUCAGACGAAAAGACCCCGUGAAGCUUUACUACAACUUGAUAUUGGGUAACGGCUUGGCAUGUUCAGAGUAGGUGGGAGCGUAAGCACCAAUGAGACACCACCCUUGCCCUGUCGUUAUUCUCAUUACGGACCGUGAAACCGGUUUGUAAAACAGUAUCUGGUGGGUAGUUUAACUGGGGCGGUUGCCUCCCAAAAAGUAACGGAGGCGUUCACAAAGGUUAGCUAGGCGCGGAUGGAAAUCGCGCUGAUCCCGCAAUGGGAAAAGCUAGCUUAACUGCAAGACCUACAAGUCGAGCAGAUGGGAAACCAGGACAUAGUGAUCCGACCGUACGAUAUCGGACGGCGGAAGCUCAACGGAUAAAAGCUACUCCGGGGAUAACAGGCUGAUCUCCCCCAAGAGUCCACAUCGACGGGGAGGUUUGGCACCUCGAUGUCGGCCCAUCGCAUCCUGGGGCUGGAGCAGGUCCCAAGGGUUAGGCUGUUCGCCUAUUAAAGCGGUACGCGAGCUGGGUUCAGAACGUCGUGAGACAGUUCGGUCUCCUGUCUACUGUGCGCGCGGAAGGUUGAGAGGACGAUUCCUUAGUACGAGAGGACCGGGAAUCACGAACCUCUUGUGAACCGGCUGUUCUACCAAGAGCACUGCCGGGUAGCGACGUUCGGCAUGGAUAAACGCUGAAAGCAUAUAAGCGUGAAACCAACCUCAAGAUUAACCUUCGUAUGAGGACCCUUCUAGACGAGGAGGUUGAUAGGCAGCAGGUGUAAGCACUGUGAAGUGUUGAGCCGAGCUGUACUAAUAGUCCCAUGUUUUGGCCA
rnacentral:rRNA from 1 species